CACAUCGUCAACAACAACUAAGGUGGUCCGUCAACCAAUAAGAGAGAGCGACAGAGAGAGAAAACACAAAGAGAAAGAUAGAAGAAGAAAGACAGAGAGGUCAUAACGAGUUCUUUUCUCUCGGAGGAAUUGUUCUUUGGAUUAUUUCCCUGCGCUCUGCGUCGACACGUCAUGUGAUUGAACCCGAAACUAAAUGUUAGUUUAAUAGUUUAUGUGACGGCCAUCGCCAAAGCGUCACCUUUGACUGCUGCUUCAAUCCAAAAGACAAUCUAGCAUCUAGGAGGACAACUGCUGGGGCGACGAUGCAAGUAGCUCACUGAGGACAUCCGGCAACCGUCUCCACAUAUGUUCAUUCAUAUCUGCAUUUAAGGGAACCUGGAAACUGAGCAGCAUGGAGGUGCUGAGUGGCCCCUGGGCUAAUCUGGCCCUGCUCCUGCGACAGACCCUCAUGCACACAGACAGAGGGACAGGCAGCUUUGUUCCUCUGUGGCUCUUCGGCCUGAUGCUGUUCCUGUCCGUCUCUCUGCUGCUGCUGCAGCUGAUUAUCUAUCUCAGCUGGAAACUCAGGCAGGUUGAGGACGAUCAGUCGGGAUUUCCGCAGAACAGAAGCGCCCUCCACAGGCAGAUGUACAGAACUACAAACCUGAGGAACAGGAGCGCCGGCUCCCACUCUCACACCUGACCGGACAGACUCUUUUAGAGAUAUGGACCCAUCACUACAUUUCAGUAAUAAAACUGACUGAACUGCCUGGAACAGUAUGGACGCUGAAGCUUGUUUGGAUGUCAGAUGAUGUGUGGAAAUGUCUUGAAACACUCAGGGAAAUCUGUGUUUGAGUAAAUGUGUUUAUAAUUUUCCAUCUCAUUUGAACUUGGGAAAACAACUUCAUCAGCUAUUUUUGUCACACCAAACUCACUGUUCUGGAUCGAAAGCUCAAACUUACAAGUUUUAAAUCACAUUAACCAAUGAAAAGAGUGAACGAGGGAGGACCAAUGAGAGUAUAACAAUCCUUUAUUCAAACAGUGUUACACGGGGGAGGAGUGGCUGUGUGGGGAGACACAAGACAGUUAAGCUGCUAGAUAGAAAAAACCCUACCAGUGAUCAUUGGUUGUGCUACGAGAGAGCAAGGAGGGAGCGGGUUGCUUUUUCCAAAAUUUGUUUCUUUAUAAAGUUUUGUUGAAAGUGAGUUUUUUUUAACUUUGUUAAAAAUACAAAAUGAUGCUGGUUUUAACGGACUUUAAAUGAUCUCAUUUGUCCAAACUGUUCAAUAAAGCCUGAGAUUGAAUGUUAAGAAUAGAAGCCAAUUGUGAAACGUGUGUUUCGUCUGACCACACGGCGCGCUCCAUGAUGGUGAGAUCCCUGACAGUUAAAAAAAUCAGCUGGCGUAGAAUCAUCUGUUUCUUAUCCAUGAGUUCCAUUAUGGAGUUGCCGUGGUAACCACUGUCUGAUGCAGCCUUUUUUUCUUGCAUUAAAAUUACUCAUGCAUUUGUCAGGCC